rfam:Myotis davidii contig120816, whole genome shotgun sequence.
GGCGGCUCUAGGGUGAUGCACCCGAGAAUCAGGCUUUCUCCUCUCUGGUUCCGCAGUGUGUCACCCGAGAACCGCC